rnacentral:rRNA from 1 species
UACGGGGGGGGGCAAGCGUUGUUCGGAAUUACUGGGCGUAAAGGGCUCGUAGGCGGCCAACUAAGUCAGACGUGAAAUCCCCAGGCUUAACCUGGGAACUGCGUCUGAUACUGGAUGGCUUGAAUUCGGGAGAGGGAUGCAGAAUUCCAGGUGUAGCGGUGAAAUGCGUAGAUAUCUGGGAGGAACACCAGUGGCGAAGGCGGCUCACUGGACCGGUUCUGACGCUGAUGCGCGAAAGCGUGGGGAGCAAACGGGG